CAGAUAUAUCCCAUGUGACUGGUAGACAGGUUUCGUUUCCAUUCAUUCAAAGAAUUUGAAACAAAUUGUGAUCUCAGAGAUUUUGAUUCGUAAGAUGAGUAAAUCACAAUGGAUAUGUUUCAAAAUGAAUUGGAGAAAUCAAACGCCGCUGGCCUGAAUGAUCAAAAGGCCAACCUUGAAGCUAGGUGCAGAAAGGCAUAAGUGGCACAAGUGCGGCGGUGUACAUCCUCACAAGAAUCUAA